rnacentral:rRNA from 1 species
UACAGAGGGUGCAAGCGUUGUUCGGAAUUACUGGGCGUAAAGCGCGUGUAGGCGGCCUGUUAAGUCUCGUGUGAAAGCCCUGGGCUCAACCCAGGAACUGCACUCGAUACUGGUUGGCUAGAGUCCGGGAGGGGAUGGUGGAAUUCCCAGUGUAGCGGUGAAAUGCGUAGAUAUUGGGAAGAACACCGGUGGCGAAGGCGGCCAUCUGGACCGGCACUGACGCUGAGGCGCGAAAGCCAGGGGAGCGAAUGGG